UUAUCAUAAUAAAAAGGGGAACUAGUUGGUGAUAAAUUUUAUAUUUAAACGCUAACAGAUUCCAGAGUAUGUGCUAGAAUUCACUCUUUGGACGGAGUGGGUUAAAUUUUACCAACAAAAGAGAGCAAUAAACAAAUAAUCAGUGUAAAAUAACCAAAAAGUCAUGAGUGAUAAAUAAUAUUCCAACAGACGGAUAAAUUAAACAAUAGACUAUGAGGUACGAAAAACCGUGAGCAUUUAGAUCUACACCAAUUAAAUCCAGGCAAAAAAACAGAAACACCCAUGAAAGCCUCGGCUCAAAACGGGAACUUUGUACCCAGAAAAUUGAACCUACCGAAACCCAUAAAAGAUAAAGGAGGAAAAGAACUGUUAAGCACAAAAAAAGG
rnacentral:misc_RNA from 1 species